rnacentral:rRNA from 1 species
UACGUACCGGACGAACGUUAUUCGGAAUUACUGGGCUUAAAGAGUGCGUAGGCGGCCUUGAAGGUGGGGUGUGAAAUCCCACGGCUCAACCGUGGAAUUGCGCUCCAAACCGCAAGGCUUGAGGGAGACAGAGGUGAGCGGAACUGAUGGUGGAGCGGUGAAAUGCGUUGAUAUCAUCAGGAACACCCGUGGCGAAGGCGGCUCACUGGGUCUCUUCUGACGCUGAGGCACGAAAGCUAGGGGAGCGAACGGG